AACGAACGCUGGCGGCGUGCCUAACACAUGCAAGUCGUGCGAGAAAGUUCCUUCGGGAGCGAGUAAAGCGGCGCACGGGUGAGUAACACGUAGGUAACCUGCCCCCCAGUCUGGAACAACUAGAGGAAACUCUAGCUAAUGCCGGAUGAGACCACGAUCCCUUCGGGGGUUGCGGCCAAAGAUGGCCUCUACUUGUAAGCUAUCGCUGAGGGAUGGGCCUGCGGGCCAUUAGCUUGUUGGUGAGGUAACGGCUCACCAAGGCUGUGAUGGCUAGCUGGUCUGAGAGGAUGACCAGCCACACUGGGACUGAGACACGGCCCAGACUCUACGGAGCAGCAGUGGGGAAUAUUGCGCAAUGGGCGAAAGCCUGACGCAGCGACGCCGCGUGGGUGAUGAAGGCCU
rnacentral:rRNA from 1 species